CUUGAGAUUCCAGGUACCAGGAUGAUCUUCAGGUGACUCGUGACCUCGCUCUAGUCGUAGCAAUACAAACAAACAUUGUAUAGGCAAAAAUUAACAUUACACCAAACAUAAGAAUGAACUGAAUAAUAAUAAUCUACGCGUUGCUACGAGGUCGUAGGAAUAAGAAUCACUAAAUUCGGAGCUACGGUUAUUAAGUUAUGAAUUUCCUAAGGUUUUAUGUAUUUGAUACGAGAUUAAUCAAGAGAUAAAUUUUAAUACCAUUUUCAUGUCAAAACAAAGAUACAGGGUAAUAAACAACAUUAUUAUAGGAUUAUAGGAAUUGGAAUGGAUUAAUUUGGACUUCAUAUGAAUUUCUUAUGAAUUAAACAAAUUCUAGCCUUUAUUUUUGCAUUAAAAGUCAUUUUCUAAAACCUUUUAUCUGAUUUCUUAACUUCCUGGACUGGGCGCCAAUAACAGAGAAACAUAGGGACUAAUGUAUAAAAAUAUCCCAGACUCUCAACCAUCCAUCUAAUCAUGAUCGUUGAAGAUGAGAUCAACGACCGGUCGUCCUCCUUCAACCUCCGGCUCCCAGGCACAAACGCCAUAGCCUCCCCAGUACGCUCUCUCUCCGGUUGCUCCACCGGCGUACGCACAGAUCGAACCAGAAGACGACACCGCUGUUCCCCAGCCGAUCGACACACGCUAACCGAGCCCUGGAGUCGCCGAAGGAAUACUACAUGUACAGGUGAAUAAACAUAAGCAGCUGGGCAAAAGAACUCACCCAAGGUCCAGGCGCCGCAGGGAAUAGAAUGGCUCGCCACCCGACUAGUGUUCCUGCGCCAGAACGAGUACUGCUAGCGCAGGGGUCUCCUUCUCCUCUCUCCCCUCGGUCUUGCUUACGCCGCGUCGAAUUAGAGGGCAGAGGCGGCUGACUUCUCCUUCGCACUCCCUUCUUGCUAUCUCUCUGUGUCUCAGAUUUUGUAUGGGGUCAAGGCGAGGGCGCGACAGCUUAUAUACACCGAGGGGAUCAUAUGACGGCCGAGCAAACCGGAGAUUAUUAGUGGAGUUUGUUACGGAGUCUGUUGGCCGAGGCACGCGCGGUUUCUGCUACGUCCGAGAACGCAGGGAAGUAGAUGAAGCUGCCAUGCGGGGGAGUUCGCGGAGCAGUUGGCGACUAAUGCGGCGAGGAAGAUAGACCUGAGAACGAG
rnacentral:lncRNA from 1 species